UACGUAGGGGGCAAGCGUUGUCCGGAAUCAUUGGGCGUAAAGAGCGCGUAGGCGGCCCUGUAAGUCCGCUGUGAAAGUCAAGGGCUCAACCCUUGGAUGCCGGUGGAUACUGCAGGGCUAGAGUCCGGAAGAGGCGAGUGGAAUUCCUGGUGUAGCGGUGAAAUGCGCAGAUAUCAGGAGGAACACCGAUGGCGAAGGCAGCUCGCUGGGACGGUACUGACGCUGAGGCGCGAAAGCGGGGGGAGCAAACAGG
rnacentral:rRNA from 1 species